GGGAAAGGUGAAAAGAACCCCGGGAGGGGAGUGAAAGAGAACCUGAAACCGUAUGCUUACAAGCAGAGAGAGCACGACUUAACGUGUGAUCUCGUACUUUUUGUAGAACGGACCGGCGAGUUACGUUAUGUAGCGAGGUUAAGGUAUUAAGUACCGGAGCCGAAGCGAAAGCGAGUGUUAAUAGUGCGAACAGUUGCAUGACGUAGACCCGAAACCGAGUGACCUAUCCAUGAGCAGGUUGAAGCAGUGGUAACACACUGUGGAGGACCGAACUCACGCCUGUUGAAAUAGUCGGAGAUGACUUGUGGAUAGCGGAGAAAUUCUAAUCGAACUCGGAUAUAGCUGGUUCUCCUCGAAAUAGCUUUAGGGCUAGCCUCUGUAUAGAGUACUGAAGGUAGAGCACUGUAUGGGCUAGGGGGCUUCACGGCUUACCGAACCUUAACAAACUUCGAAUGACAGAUACUUGUUUGCAGGGAGUCAGACAGCGUGAGAUAAGUUUCGUUGUCGAAAGGGAAACAGCCCAGAUCUACAGCUAAGGUCCCGAAGUGCAGGUUAAGUGGAAAAGGAUGUAUUGUUGCUAAAACAACCAGGAUGUUGGCUUAGAAGCAGCCACUCAUUUAAAGAGUGCGUAAUAGCUCACUGGUCGAGUGACAACGCGCCGAAGAUUAACGGGGCUAAAACCUGCCACCGAAGCUUAGGAAUGAACGCAAGUUCAUUGGUAGAGGAGCAAUGUAUGCACGCAGAAGCCGUAUCGAAAGGGGCGGUGGAGAGCAUACAAGAGAGAAUGCCGGUAUAAGUAGCGCAAGCGGAGCGAGAAACUCCGCCAUCGAAAGUCUGAGGUUUCCUGGGGAAGGUUCGUCCGCCCAGGGUAAGUCGGGACCUAAGUUGAGGGCGAAAGCCGUAGAUGAUGGACAGCAGGUAGACAUUCCUGUACCGCCACCGGACGCUUUUACCGAAGCAGUGACACAGAAGGAUAGUCAGACCUUGGCGAAUGGUAGAGCCAGGACAGAGCGAGAGGCCGAGACGCAGUGAAGUACACGUCUCGUGAGGCUGGUCGUGAGUGGACCUAAAUGAUGGGAAGCUGAUGAAUUCACGCUGGCGAGAAAAGCUGCUAGGGAGGAAGGUGGUGCCCGUACCGCAAACCGACACAGGUAGACGAGGUGAGAAACCUAAGAUGAACGGGAUAACUCUUGUUAAGGAACUCGGCAAAAUGACCCCGUAACUUCGGGAGAAGGGGUGCCACGCGAGUGGCCGCAGUGAAAAGUCCCAAGCGACUGUUUACCAAAAACACAGGUCUCUGCGAAAUCGAAAGAUGACGUAUAGGGGCUGACGCCUGCCCAGUGCUGGAAGGUUAAGGGGAGUUGUUAGAGCAAUCGAAGCAAUGAACUUAAGCCCCAGUGAACGGCGGCCGUAACUAUAACGGUCCUAAGGUAGCGAAAUUCCUUGUCAGGUAAGUUCUGACCCGCACGAA
rnacentral:rRNA from 1 species